rnacentral:rRNA from 1 species
AAACCAGCACCUCAAGUGGUCAGGAUGAUUAUUGGGCCUAAAGCAUCCGUAGCCGGCACUGUAAGUUUUCGGUUAAAUCUGUACGCUCAACGUACAGGCUGCCGGAAAUACUGCAGAGCUAGGGAGUGGGAGAGGUAGACGGUACUCGGGAGGAAGGGGUAAAAUCCUUUGAUCUUUCGAUGACCACCUGUGGCGAAGGCGGUCUACCAGAACACGUCCGACGGUGAGGGAUGAAAGCUGGGGGAGCAAACCGGAUUAGAAACCCCAGUAGUCC